UAGCCUAGUGGUUAAGGCUAUGGAUCGCCAAUCCUGAGCCUGCGGGUUCGAUUCCCGU
rnacentral:tRNA from 1 species